rnacentral:tRNA from 1 species
UAAUUGAAAGAGGAAAACACCAUGAACAACGCAUACGCUUUCUACCUAUAUGACGCGCUCAAGCACAGCACUC